UAGUUUGAUCAUGGCUCAGGACGAACGCUGGCGGCGGGCUUAACACAUGCAAGUCGCGGGAGAAGCGGCCCUUCGGGGCCGCGGAGACCGGCGGAUGGGUGAGUAACGCGUAGGUAAUCUGCCGUUAGGACUGGGAUAACCCACCGAAAGGUGAGCUAAUACCGGAUGAUGCAGCGGGGCCGCAUGGCCACAGUUGUUAAAUCCUUCGGGAGCCUAACGAUGAACCUGCGUGCCAUUAGCUAGUUGGUAGGGUCAAAGCCUACCAAGGCAAUGAUGGCUAGGGGGUCUGAGAGGAUGAUCCCCCACACUGGGACUGAGACACGGCCCAGACUCCUACGGGAGGCAGCAGUGAGGAAUCUUGCGCAAUGGGGGCAACCCUGACGCAGCCACGCCGCGUGCUGGAAGACGGCCCUAUGGGUUGUAAACAGCUUUUACUGGGGAAGAACCUGGACCUUUCGAGGACCACUGACGGUACCCAGUGAAUAAGCACCGGCUAACUCCGUGCCAGCAGCCGCGGUAAUACGGAGGGUGCAAGCGUUGUCCGGAAUCAUUGGGUGUAAAGGGUGUGCAGGCGGAAGUCUAAGUCGGAGGUGAAAUCUUGCCGCUUAACGGUAAAAGGGCCUUCGAAACUGGAUUUCUUGAGUUCGGAAGAGGUUGGUGGAAUUCGUGGUGUAGCGGUGAAAUGCAUAGAUAUCACGAAGAACACCGGUGGCGAAGGCGGCCAACUGGUCCGAUACUGACGCUGAUACACGAG
rnacentral:rRNA from 1 species